UGUCCUCGCAGGCCCUCAUUUAAAAUCCCAUUGGGAGUCUCCAUGAAAUCGUAACUCAUGCAUUUUAUAUGCCUUCAAAAUCAGCACCACGUAGAAGAUGCCAAGGUCUGUAGAGAGUCUGAGCAGUACCCUGGCCCUCCUGGACCACCACUAUAGUGGCUGCUGAGUACCUGGAUGGCUGAACGCAAUGGAAUGAAUCUGAGGAAAUCUAUUCCUUAGUUGCAGUUAGCCUGAGAACUACACUGGGAAUUACUUUGGAGAGCACCAAGGCUAAGAAGAGAAAAUAUGAGAUGAUCCUUAGUUUAAAUUCUCUGCAAAGUUAAGAGUCUAUCAAAGUUCAUCCUGUGGUCAGAGAUGCUCGAUAAACUCCCUGUUUACCUCUGAACUGGGGGAUCUGAAGACACUGACAGUGGAACAAGGUUAUCUUCAUCUCUCUCCAUGGUAGAUUUUCACAACGUACAACACAGGAA